CCUCAGUAUUUGCCUGACUUGAAGGCACCGCUGGUACGUGUCCCUGACUAUGCCCAUAGUGGUCGUGUAUAAAACCACUUUACCGGCUUCUUUUUCCUGCCAUGUCUGAAACAGCAAAAUCGGAUCGAAUAUUAUUGGCACCGGUUCAGACGUCGAUUUUUUGGCUGUCACGGUUACAUGUCUCUGAAUGCAAAUGUACAACGUAUUCGUUUUAGGAAGAUUGCGGUUUCCGGAUGUGUUAAAUGUUUGCCUCAUUAAAAGUUAAAUAGCAGAACGAGUUAUAAUACGAUGAUUCACGAAUAAAACAAUUUUCAAACGAUUAAGAUAAAUAUUAUAUUAGAAAAGUAUUUUCAUGAAAUAAAAAAAAUUGUGUGAAGAAUCGAACAAAAGGUAAAUGUGACGUGAUCGGAUCUGUCGAAUUAAACGACAUGGUAAAUCGUACGUUUUUCUUAGAAAUUUUUAAUGAAAAUUUCUGUCUAUCAUUACGCACACGUAAUAUAUUAUAAUCAAUAAUUCAUCAUGCAACAAUGAAUAGACAUAUUUUUCGCAAAAACACUGAAGUCACGCCUACAGUCAAAUUACGUAUAUUAGUUGUGUUGCAGUUGAGGACGCAAACAUUCUUUUGGAACAAAACGAAUUGCAUAGUACACAGGAUUGUUGACUUGGAAAUACUUGGAAACCACGGUCUAUGUAGUGUGUAGUGGCGGUCGACUAAAAGUGACUCGGGAAUCAACAGUAAUGGUUAUUAUACUUAAUCAUCAACAUUUUAAUGGCAAGUUCUACCAAAAUCAUAUUUAUUUUAAACUUUAAGUGUAUUAUAAUAUGCUUUGUAUAUGAUUAUUUGACUUUUGCACAGGUGAGGUGUAAUGAUUUAGCCAUAAAAAUCAUAAUCUAAUGCUGAUAUACGCCCAUAUUCGUAGUUCACUGCAGCAACAUGUGUCAUGCACGUUAUAAGAUGUAUUUAAUAUGAAUAUUAAACAUUUAGAUUGGAAACGUCAACGUACGAAAUAAUAUAUUGAUUUGUAUGUAUAUAGGUGUGUGAUAUUGAAACGAUAACUCGGAAUAUAAAGAUAUCUUGGACGCAUUUGGAAUUAAAAGUGAUUUUUUUUUUUUCAUUUUUACACCUAACGAAAUUGAAAACUUUCAUAGGUACGUCGUUUAAAAACACGUUGCACUAGAUCCAUAUUAUUUUCGCGUGUCUUGUUUAAUUAUUGUUAUCAUUAGAGCAUAUAUUAUACUGGAAAAGCGACGAGAAAUUUAGUCGUCCGUACUUUGUUCUAUACUCGUAAAACAAUAUAAUUAUUUGUCGUAACUAUAUAUGGAUGUGUACGGGUUUACGAUCUAUAAUUUAAAUAAUAACAUAAUAUACUGUUUUAAAAUAAUUGUGUGUUAUCAUUUAUCGACUAUAUAGAUGUUUGUUUCUACAACCGCACUAGAGUGUUGCCGUUUUACUACUUUUGACCACAUCUUUUCGAAAACUACGUCGUAUAUAUACAGUACAGCAUGCAGUCUAGAGGUAUAUCUAAACAUCACGUAUCGAUUUCGAAAAAAUUAUUACUGUCGAUUGGCCAUCAUGUACACACACACAUCACACAGGUAAAAACUGAUUUUUUUCUGUAGCAUGAAGAAAUGCGUUUGAUCAGAAGAAGAAUAUUCGUAC